AUUGAACGCUGGCGGCAUGCCUUACACAUGCAAGUCGAACGGCAGCACGGGUGCUUGCACCUGGUGGCGAGUGGCGAACGGGUGAGUAAUAUAUCGGAACGUACCUUAUCGUGGGGGAUAACGCAGCGAAAGCUGCGCUAAUACCGCAUACGCCCUGAGGGGGAAAGCGGGGGACCGUAAGGCCUCGCGCGAUUAGAGCGGCCGAUAUCUGAUUAGCUUGUUGGUGGGGUAAAAGCCCACCAAGGCGACGAUCAGUAGCUGGUCUGAGAGGACGAUCAGCCACACUGGGACUGAGACACGGCCCAGACUCCUACGGGAGGCAG
rnacentral:rRNA from 1 species